rnacentral:rRNA from 1 species
CUGGGCUACACACGUGCUACAAUGGACAGAACAAAGGGCUGCAAGACCGCAAGGUUUAGCCAAUCCCAUAAAUCUGUUCUCAGUUCGGAUCGCAGUCUGCAACUCGACUGCGUGAAGCUGGAAUCGCUAGUAAUCGCGGAUCAGCAUGCCGCGGUGAAUACGUUCCCGGGCCUUGUACACACCGCCCGUCACACCACGAGAGUUUGCAACACCCGAAGUCGGUGAGGUAACCUUUAUGGAGCCAGCCGCCGAAGGUGGGGCAGAUGAUUGGGGUGAAGUCGUAACAAGGUAGCCGUAUCGGAAGGUGCGGUUGGAUCACCUC